ensembl:snRNA U2 U2 spliceosomal RNA
AUCGCUUCUUGGGCUUUUGGCUAAGAUCAAGUGUAGUAUCUGUUCAUAUCAGAGUUUAAUAUAUAAUAAAAAUUAUGUAUUAAUAUGUUAAUUAUA